rnacentral:ncRNA from 1 species
UGAAGAGGGGUGCUAAGUAGAUCACUUGGCUGAGAUUAUACCCGUAAAACCUGAUGCAGGUAAUGCUGCCGUAGGAAGAACG